rnacentral:rRNA from 1 species
AACUAGGAUUAGAUACCCUAUUAUUUUAGAGCUAUAAAUUGUAAGUAAAUAAUAAUUAUGAAAGCAAAAAAUUAUGGCGGUAUUUUAAGCUUUUCAGAGGAAUUUGCUCUUUAAUGGAUAAAACACCUUAAUCUUACUUAAAUUUGUUAAAUCAGUUUGUAUACCACUAUGAAAUUAAUUAAUUAUUUUAAUUAAUAAAAUUUAUUAAUAUUUUAAAAAAAAUUAAGUCAAGGUGCAGCAAAAAUUUAAGAAUGAAGUGAAUUACAUUUCUUUUAAGAAACCAGUAAAAUUAAAAUCAUUUUUAGGAUUUGAAAGUAAAAUUAAAAUAGAAUGUUAAUUUGAAUUAAGCUCUAAAAUAUGUACAUAUCGCCCGUCACUCUUUAUUAAGAUAAGUCGUUACAUAGAUAAU